rnacentral:lncRNA from 1 species
GUCCUUGAGUGUGUGAUCCUCCUGCUUCAACCUUCUGUGUCUGUGGAAUUACAGACAUGUACCACCAUGCCCAGCCUGCUGAGGACUUUCUUGCUGCAUCGUAACAUGGUGGAGGGUAUCACAUGGUUAAAAAAAGGCACAGGAGAGAGAGAGAGGUAGGUGGGAUCAAAAGAACUGGUGGGAGAGAAUUACUUUUUAUAACAAAGCCACUUCCAUGAUAACUAACCCAGUCCUGCAACAACAACAUUAAUCCAGUCAUGAGGGUGGAGCCCUGAUGCCUAUUCACCUCCUAAAGACUCUGCCUCCCAAUAUGGUCACAGUAGCAAUUCAAUUUCAACCUAAGUUUUGGAUGGGACGUUCAAAUCAAAGCAGUGGUUCUUGUGGGUCUCAUUGAAAUGAUGACAUUUGAAAUGAAGCGGCACCCCCUUUCUCCACAGAAAAGUCUUAACUGGGCUUCUCCAGAGAUUUUCACCAUGGCUGAUUUUAGAACUGUCAGCCAAAGAGUCUCUGCAAAAGAGCUCAAUGUAGAUAAACUUCCUAUUUUCAUGUUUCCCUGUUUUACUUGGCCACUGGCCAGAAAGAUACCAGCACUCCAGGUGCUGGACACCCCUUACUAGUUUUUCACAAACGUAUCCAGUAUAGUAGUUUGUAGAAAUGUGCAAACAAGGCCUCUGGCCUUGAGCUGGGCUUCACAGAGAUGUCUACAUUUUUAAGAUAAGUUACAAUUGGGCUCCAUGGUAACAGCUGGCAGGGGAGGAAAGGGGAGAAGGAGCUCUCCCCUUCUCAGGUGUUGUCCUUGAAGAGUUAACUUGCCCAGAACAGUGAAAGAAAAAGCUGCUUUUAUGUGAACUUCUGCAGACUGUGAACUUCUGAGCCCCUCCCCGUACAUGCUGGGUAUAAAACUCUGAAACUCCCUGAACUCGGGGUUCAGGGGAUUGAUUACAGCAAAAGCUGUGCCCCCUGAACCUGGCUGCAGCCAAAUAGAACUGUUUCCUGCUGUCUUCAGUCCUUGUAUUGUCUGACCCUACAACAGAAAUAAGGCCAGAAAGAGACGAGGGAGCUGACCAGGUAAACUUCUGGAGAAAGAACAUUCCAGCCAAAGCUCUAGCUAAGAUGGGAGUGUCGCCGAUGGGUUUGAGGAAAAGUAAGCUGACCCAUGAAGCUGGAGAAGAGUAAAGGGACAAGUCUUAAGAGAGGAAGUGCAAAAGGAGAUGGGGACAGAUUCUAAAGGGGCUUCUCAGCCAUUGUAAGGACUUUGACUGUUUUCUGAGUGACAUGGGAAUCAUUGAAGGUGAUCCUCUUCACAAGAACAACAGAAAGAGCCUAUAUUUCCUGAAGAAUUUGAGAGGCACUUGCCAAAUGAUAUCCUACCCUUGCCAUAGUUUGAAGGUGUGCCCCCAAAUUCAUGCAUAGAAGUCUAAGACCCAAUGUGAUAGUAAGUCAUGAGGGCUCCACUCUCACUCAUAGGAUCUGCACCCUUAAUUAUCAAAGGGUUCAAGGGAACUAGUUGGUCCUUUUGCCCCUUUUGCCUUUCCCCAAGUUAAGACACAGUGUUCAGGACGCCAUCUUGGAAACAAAGACUGGGCCCUCACCAGACUUGGAACCCACUGACAGCUUCAUCUUGGACUUUCUAGCCUCCAGAUCUGUG